rnacentral:lncRNA from 1 species
GAUGACGAUUGUCUUUGUGCAUUUUUGUGCACAAAGACACCUGUGCAUGAAGAUUUAAGUGGAAAAGUCGAUGCACAGAGACAGUCCCACUCUCUCGGCAUUGGAAGCCUGGGUCCAUUGGCACGAAAAGUCGUUACACCUGGAGACUUCCUCAGCUGCAUUGGAUGGCCGUGUUGUCUUUUGUGCUCCAACACGCCCUAAGCACUCCACAGUGCCUUGCUGCAUCGCCAUCUCAGCCGUUGAACCUUCUUGUUGGUUUCUUCCACCUGUUCCACCGAAACAGUCUUCACAUGCUGGGAGAUAUAGCUUCCUAGAUAGAGAAGAGGUUUCCUGGACAAUUUCAAGUUACUGAAGAGUUUGGGAGCUAAAAUGGAAUUCUUAGACAGUUCCAGCUUCUUAGAGAGAAGAUUUGAUGAACCUUCUCAUCAGCAUCAGUCUCUUGGGAAGAUCAUGCAUGUGACCCUAAACUGGAGGAUUAGCAAGAGACAGAGCUCUAAUAUGACCCAACAAAUGACCUGGACUUGCCCUCCACUAUUCUCACUAUUAUUUAGCUCAUGAAGGGAGGGCCACUGGGAAGGCAGCCACCUGUCUCUCUUGGAGAUGCAAGUUAAUUUCUUUUCCUAAGGGAGUCCAAACCUCAGGGUGUACUGAAAAUCUGAUAGAUAGUAUAGUAUUCUGGGAACCACUUGGAAUUCCUGGAGACAGAGUAAAAAUAUAUUAAUGAUUUAUGUGCUAAUGUGAAGUCUUUAUGUCUUUUUUGUGAAAUUAAAUAAAAGUGAUCCUGUACCAAAUAUGCCUUAUUGC